UGGGGAAUUUUGGACAAUGGGGGCAACCCGGAUCCAGCCAUUCCGCGUGAGUGAAGAAGGCCUUCGGGCUGUAAAGCUCUUUCAGCAGGAACGAAACGGUCGGCUUUAAUAAAGUCGGCUAAUGACGGUACCUGCAGAAGAAGCACCGGCUAACUACGUGCCAGCAGCCGCGGUAAUACGUAGGGUGCGAGCGUUAAUCGGAAUUACUGGGCGUAAAGCGUGCGCAGGCGGCGACAUAAGACAGAUGUGAAAUCCCCGGGCUCAACCUGGGAACUGCGUUUGUGACUGUGUUGCUAGAGUGUAGCAGAGGGGGGUGGAAUUCCACGUGUAGCAGUGAAAUGCGUAGAGAUGUGGAGGAACACCGAUGGCGAAGGCAGCCCCCUGGGUUAACACUGACGCUCAUGCACGAAAGCGUGGGGAGCAAACAGGAUUAGAUACCCUGGUAGUCCCUGAGCGGGCUGGCAAGGCGCAU
rnacentral:rRNA from 1 species